UCCGAGUUGACCCCGGCAGUCUCCUGCGAGUCCCCGGCUUUACCCGCUGGCAACACAGGACGAGGGUUGCGCUCGUUGCGGGACUUAACCCAACAUCUCACGACACGAGCUGAUGACAGCCAUGCAGCACCUGUGUUCGAGUUCCCGAAGGCACCAAUCCAUCUCUGGAAAGUUCUCGACAUGUCAAGGCCAGGUAAGGUUCUUCGCGUUGCAUCGAAUUAAACCACAUGCUCCACCGCUUGUGCGGGCCCCCGUCAAUUCCUUUGAGUUUUAGCCUUGCGGCCGUACUUCCCAGGCGGGGUGCUUAAUGCGUUAGCUUCGGCACGGGGGGAGUCGACACCCCCCACACCUAGCACCCAUCGUUUACGGCGUGGACUAC
rnacentral:misc_RNA from 1 species